rnacentral:rRNA from 1 species
GGAAGGGAUGUAUUUAUUAGAUUAAAAGCCAAUGCCCUCCGGGGCUCACUGGUGAUUCAUGAUAACUUUUCGAAUCGUACGGCCUUGUGCCGACGAUGGUUCAUUCAAAUUUCUUCCCUAUCAACUUUCGAUGUUUGGGUAGUGGCCAAACAUGGUUGCAACGGGUAACGGAGGGUUAGGGCUCGGCCCCGGAGAAGGAGCCUGAGAAACGGCUACUACAUCCAAGGAAGGCAGCAGGCGCGCAAAUUACCCAAUCCCGACACGGGGAGGUAGUGACAAUAAAUACUGAUACAGGGCUCUUUUGGGUCUUGUAAUUGGAAUGAGUACAAUUUAAAUCUCUUAACGAGGAACAAUUGGAGGGCAAGUCUGGUGCCAGCAGCCGCGGUAAUUCCAGCUCCAAUAGCGUAUAUUAAAGUUGUUGUGGUUAAAAAGCUCGUAGUUGAACCUUGGGCCUGGCUGGCCGGUCCGCCUCACCGCGUGUACUGGUCCGGCCGGGCCUUUCCCUCUGUGGAAUCCCAUGCCCUUCACUGGGUGUGGCGGGGAAACAGAACUUUUACUUUGAAAAAAUUAGAGUGCUCCAGGCAGGCCUAUGCUCGAAUACAUUAGCAUGGAAUAAUAAAAUAGGACGUGUGGUUCUAUUUUGUUGGUUUCUAGGACCGCCGUAAUGAUAAAUAGGGACAGUCGGGGGCAUCAGUAUUCAAUCGUCAGAGGUGAAAUUCUUGGAUCGAUUGAAGACUAACUACUGCGAAAGCAUUUGCCAAGGAUGUUUUCAUUAAUCAG